rnacentral:rRNA from 1 species
ACGGGAGGCAGCAGUGGGGAAUAUUGGGCAAUGGGCGAAAGCCUGACCCAGCAACGCCGCGUGAAGGAAGAAGGUCUUCGGAUUGUAAACUUCUUUUAUGAGGGACGAAGGACGUGACGGUACCUCAUGAAUAAGCCACGGCUAACUACGUGCCAGCAGCCGCGGUAAUACGUAGGUGGCAAGCGUUAUCCGGAUUUACUGGGUGUAAAGGGCGCGUAGGCGGGGAUGCAAGUCAGAUGUGAAAUCCAUGGGCUCAACCCAUGAACUGCAUUUGAAACUGUCGUUCUUGAGUGUCGGAGAGGCAAGCGGAAUUCCUAGUGUAGCGGUGAAAUGCGUAGAUAUUAGGAGGAACACCAGUGGCGAAGGCGGCUUGCUGGACGAUAACUGACGCUGAGGCGCGAAAGCGUGGGGAGCAAACAGGAUUAGAUACCCUGGUA